UACGUAGGGACCGAGCGUUGUCCGGAAUUAUUGGGCGUAAAGGGCUCGUAGGCGGUUUGUCGCGUCGGGAGUGAAAACCCAGGGCUUAACCCUGGGCUGGCUUUCGAUACGGGCAGACUAGAGGUAUGCAGGGGAGAACGGAAUUCCUGGUGUAGCGGUGAAAUGCGCAGAUAUCAGGAGGAACACCGGUGGCGAAGGCGGUUCUCUGGGCAUUACCUGACGCUGAGGAGCGAAAGUGUGGGGAGCGAACAGG
rnacentral:rRNA from 1 species